rnacentral:lncRNA from 1 species
GUUCCUGCUUGGCUGUCGAGGUGGAUACUAGUUAGUAAGCCGCCCUGGAUUACACUAGCAUUUUCACUGGAGUGUUCCACGUCAUUCUCUGAAGAAAACAUGAGAUCAGGGGAAGAUUCUCCAGCAGUACUGUUGGGUAGAUUAUUUUGAGCAAGAGACUCUUUGGGGUCUUUCCAGACACUCAGAAUGAGGUUGCUGAGUCCAGUCACGUCUGCCUGGGCACGUCCUUAGGUUUCAAGCAUUGGCGUCUGCCAUGGAGGGCUCACUAUAUGAAACUGGGGCAAAUCUGAGAAUUACGGGUUUACACCACACAAUCAGCAUCAGAAAUACCUGUGCAGAUCAGCAGUGCUGUAUCACCAAGGAGAAGAAUGAUUCCCGCAGCCGGCACACAGGUUCCGAGGAUGCGUACAGACCAGUCGGGCUGACAGACAUGAAAACAUAUCAGUGUGAUGGAGCAUAACGGAACCUACAAGAGACUAAAGGUACAUGAGGGGAUUCAGUGGGGGCUCACAGAGUGGACAUUCCCCUAUGGCAGGGGCAGGGGUCUGGAAGGUAGGAAAAGUAGGAGGGACAUGUGGGAGCCCCAGACUAUGUUUCUCCCUCCCAGAUGAGGAUGAUUGUACUAUACCUGUGCCAAGGUGGGCAUUACAUUAAAAAAAAAUUUCCACAGGUUAUUGGGGUUCAGGUGGUAUUUGGUUACAUGAGUAAGUUAUUUAGUGGUGAUUUGUGAGAUUAUGGUGCACCCAACACCUGAGCAGUAUAUGUUGCACCCUACUCAUAGUCUUUUAUCCCUCACCCUCCUCCCACCCUUCUCCCCAAGUCCCCAAAGUCCAUUGUAUCAUUCUUACGCCUUUGUGUUCUCAUAGCUCAGCUCCCACUUAUCAGUGAGAACAUAUGAUAUUUGUUUUUCCAUUCCUGAGUUACUUCACUUAAAAUAGUCUCCAAUCUCAUCCAGGUCGCUGCAAAUGCUGUUAAUUCAUUCCUUUUUAUGUCUGAGUAGUAUUCCGUUGUAU